AGUGAACGCUGUCGGUAGGCCUAACACAUGCAAGUCGAACGGCAGCACCAUAAGAGCUUGCUCUUACGGGUGUCGAGUGGCGUACGGGUGAGGAAUACGUCGGAAUCUACUUUUUCGUGGGGGAUAACGUAGGGAAACUUACGCUAAUACCGCAUACGACCUACGGGUGAAAGCAGGGGAUCUUCGGACCUUGCGCGAUUGAAUGAGCCGAUGUCGGAUUAGCUAGUUGGCGGGGUAAAGGCCCACCAAGGCGACGAUCCGUAGCUGGUCUGAGAGGAUGAACAGACACACUGGAACUGAGACAACGUCCAGACUCCAAAGGGAGGGAGCAGUGGGGAAUAUUGGACAAUGGGAGCAAGUCUGAUCCAGGGAAAACGUGUGGGAGAAGAAGGCCGUAGGGUAGGAAAGCCCGUUGGUGGGGAAAGAAAAGCAGAAGGUGAAUAGCGUGCAGUUCUGAAGGUACCAAAAGAAUAAGCACAGGUUAACUUAGUG
rnacentral:rRNA from 1 species